rnacentral:lncRNA from 1 species
UCUUGCUAUGAUAAAAUAAAGCAAAAAAACAUGUAAUCCACAAGCUGACAAAAAGGUUUUGGUAGCAGAUAUCGUAUAUGCAGAGAAUUAUAGUCCCAGCAAAAUAUUCAUGGACGUUUGAAAAGUCAGUUGAGUUUCUCAAUCGCUAGAACUUCUUGAAAGAAAAACUUGAUGUCAAUUCAUGAUUGAGACACGGCAUGUUUUCAGUUCUUAAUUUAGUUUAAGAAGACCAAAUGAUAAUCAAAACAUUGCCUAGUAGCAACAAAAUACAGAUAUGCCUUCCGAAAGGAAAUAAGCCUUCCUUCUUGCAGUGACUGGACUAGUAUUAUACAGUCUUCCUUAGCUUAGGGUUUGUAGUCUCCCCUUGUUCUGUUGCAUAUGUCCCUUUCCUCUGUAUAUACUCUGUGCUUACAGAUCCAUCACCCUCGAGCCGUUACGGUCGUGGCCUGGAUCUGGAAAAGGGAGGUGGGAGACACGACGGACACCUGCAGGCACGUUGCAGGGAGUGGCGGUGAUGGCUCAGGGAAUUGUGGCAGCGGCUGACGGAGGGUGAGAGGCGGCGACAGGUGGUGGGAGCAGCAGCGGUGGAGUAGGUGAGCGAGCUAGGGUUUGUGGAGACAGGAGAAGAGGGGAUGUGAGGGAAGAAUGGACCUCAAGGGCCUAGAACAGGCGAGUAGGCCCGCAACCGAGUUUUUUAGGGUCCCAGGGAGGCUUCUGAGGGCCGAUGCGGGUUGGCGAUCUGCCAUCUAUCCACAAUCAAAGUCGAAGCGUCAUGCGGUUUAAAAAAAUACAUGAACGUAAAUCCCACGGUACAUUUUACUUAAAUUUUACUGUCCGGGUCACUCACAGUUUUCAAUUCAAAAAACUAUACAACGAUUGAUGAUUAUUUUCCUAAUGAUUCCGGUUGUUAGGAAAUAUGCAACUUGUAUUUCCAAGAGGCCACAGGCCAGUAUAUAUACAUACAGGUGUGUGGAAUAUGCAGGAAACCCCUUAUACAAUAGGGUAAAUACGAAAGGUUACAUGGUUAUAGAUAUAAUACUCUAACCAACCCCCCCCCCCCUCUCAAACUCAUGGUGGAUUAACAACACUGAGUUUGGAAAGAUAGAAGACAUGUUGUGCUCUAGCCUGGGCCUUUGUUGGAAAAUCCGUCAACUGUAACUCAGAAGGCACAUACUGAAAAGCAAUAACCUAACCCUGCACACCAGCACGCACAUAAAAAGCAUCAACACCAAUAUGUUUGGUGAUCUCAUGCUUCAGAGGAUGACGCGCAAUGCUAAUAGCACCUGUACUGUCAGAUAAUAGCAGAGUAGGUGUAGUGACAGAAACACAAAAAUCCUGAAGUAACCAUCAUAACCAAGUCACCUCUGCCGUCAAAAGAGCCAUAGCUCGUAUCUCGGCCUCUGCACUCGAACGGGAAACUGCAGUAUGUUUCUUCGUCUUCCAGGCAAUGAGAGAACCACCAAAAAAAACACAGUAAGCAGAAAGUGAACGGCGAUCUAAGGGAUCACUAGCCCACGUAGCAUCUGAAUAGGCCUGAAGCUGUAAAGAACUGGAGCGAGGAAAGAACAGAUGGUGAGAGAUCGUGCCCCGAAGAUAUCGGAGAACACGAAGGAGGUGACUAUAGUGAACCGAGGUGGGAGCGGAGACAAACCGACUCAGAAUAUGAACCGGAUAAGAGAUAUCCGGACGAGUGACAGCUAGAUAGACAAGACUGCCAGCAAGAUGACGAUAACGCGUCGGAUCAGGCAGGGGGUCACCAUCAGUAUCACGGAGGUGAACAUUGAGCUCCAUGGGAGUCUCAACAAUGCGAUCGUCGGUAAGAGCAGCACGAGCAAGAAGAUCCUAGAUAUACUUUUCCUGGGAUAUAAAAAAGCCAUCGAAGGUAGAAGAGACUUCAAUCCCAAAAAAGUAGCGAAGAGGUCCAAGAUCGUACAUAAGAAACUGCUCACUAAGACGGGCCUUUACAAAGGCAAUAUACUCGGGGUCGUCACCACUAAUGAUCAUGUCAUCAACAUAGAGAAUAAGAAUAGUCCGACCACGAGGAGAAAGGUGAAUAAACAAUGCCGGAUCAUGAGGACUCGCUGAAAAACCAGCGGCAGUCACCACAGAGGCAAAACGCUCAAACCAGGCGCGGGCGCCUUGCUUAAGGCCAUAGAGAGAGCGAUGGAAACGACAUACCAUGCCAUCAGGAACAGAAUAUCUAGGUGGUGGCUGCAUGUACACCUCACGCAACUCACCAUUAAGAAAACCAUUCUUAACAUCAAGCUGAAAUACAGACCAGUGGAGUGCAGAGGCCACGGCAAGAAGUGUACGAAUAGUGGUCAUAUGGGCCACAGGAGCAAAAGUCUCAUCAUAAUCACGACCAUGCUCUUGCUGAAAGCCACAAGCCACAAGACGAGCUUUGUAACACUCAAGAGACAUCAGAGCGAGUCUUAACCUUGAUGGGACGGACACCUGGAGGAAGAGAAACAAGAUCCCAUGUACCGGUGCGUUCAAGAGCAGCAAUCUCCUCUGCCAUCGCAAACUGCCAUUCAGGAUGAACAACAACCUCACAAUAAGAAGUCGGCUCAAGAACAGCAGCACCAGCGAUGGGAAAUUCAAGGCGAUCAACAGGCAGACGAGGACGAGGACGCAAGCCAUAGGUAGGCUGAGACGAGGAGAACGACACAUCCGCCGAGGCAUCCACAUUACGUGAACGACGAGUGAAAUACUGAGGAAAAGAUGGAAGAAUCGGGGGGUGGAGACGAAGAAGUCACCGGAGAUGAAGGUGCAGAAUCCGGUGACAUGCUAGGCAAGGAAACCGUGGGAGAUGGUGGCGGCAAAUCGGCAAGAGGUGGAGAACCAGAGGUAGCAGAACGAAUAGACAAAGGCUCGAUGGGGAUGAUAGGUGUGUCAGAGAAAGUGAGGAAAGAGAUAUCCUCCACUGAAAAGGUCGAGGAAGAGGGGCGCGGGUAGAAGGGACGAGACUCAUCAAAAGUCACAUCCCGAGAAAUACGCAUCUGACGACCAAUAGGAUCCCAACAACGAUAGUCCUUAUGCUCAUUACUAUAGCCUAAGAGACACACUCAACAGACUGAGCGGUCGGUUUGGUGCGUUCACGAGGGGCAAGAAGAACAUAGCACACACAACCAAACAAACGAAGCAUCAAAUAAUCGGGAGAACGGUCAAAAAGACGCUCGAAAGGAAUACCACCCUGUAGAGCAGCGGACGGCUAUAGAUUGAUGAGAUAGGUGGAGGUGGAGACGGCCUCAGCCCAAAAAUGAGGCGGGGCAGAGGCGGCAAUCAUCAAUGCACGAGUCGUCUCAAGAAGGUGAUGAAGCUUGCGCUCAGCCACGCCAUUCUAAGCAUGAGCAACAGGACAAGAGAACUGAGAAAGAGCCCCUUGCUCAGCAAGAACACCACGCAACAUCUUAGAAAUAUACUCGCCAGCAGAGUGAGCACGAAACAAACGAAUGGGCGAAGAGAACUGAGUGUGAACCAUGGCAGCAAAACGCUUAUAAAUGGACAACACCUCACUGUGAGAAGUCAUAAAAUAAAGCCAUGUGUAACGAGAGAAGUCAUCUAUGAAAAUAAUAUAGUAUCGAUGAACCCCCAUCGGAAUAGACUAAAUCAAAAGGACGCUGAGACACUGACUCACUAUUUGGAUAUGGUAACUGAAUCUGUUUGCCAAGUCAACAACCCUGACAUUCUAAAGAGACAUCUCCUGAGACAGACCCAAAAGACCUCGACGAACUAAAGACGACAAACGAGAACCACAAAGAUGACCAAGUCGAUGAUGCCACUGCUGGAAGGAACCGGUAGUGGAGGCGACCGAAGCGGAUGAACUGGCGAUAGUGGUGGCAGCGGAAGGAACAUGAAGCCAGUCUAACUCCCAAAGACCCUGAGAAUCACAGCGGCGAGGGCCGGCCCCAACCAAAGUGUGCAUGCGACGAUCCUGAAUAGAACAAGAGUUAACGUAAAGGAUGAUGCGACAACCAGAAUCAGUAAGUUGACCAGCAGAAAACAGAUUCAUGGUAAGUCAAGGAACAUGAGAAACAUCAGGAACAGAAUAAGGAGUGGUAAGAUUGCCUCUACUAGCAACAGAAAGAGGAGUACAUCAGCAGUGAGUACAUGAACAUGAAAAUCAAUCGAUCUAAGAGAGGACAAAGCGGAAGAAUGAGAAGACAUAUGAAAAGAAGCUCCGGAUUCCAGAACCCAUGGGGAUGUACCUGACUAUGUAGAAGGUGAUUGCUCAGUGCGAGAAGCAUCAGUCACAGAACCGGCAGUACGUGUCGAGGAAGAACCUGAGGCGGCGAGCAGACGCCGAAGUCUCAGAAUAUCCUGCUCGGUUAGAGCGGUGGCUGAAGAUGUUGAAGAAGAAGUCCCUGAAGAUGAUGACCGCGCCUUACGCAAGUGUUUCUUCUUCUGGAAGCACCGAGACUCGACAUGACCAUCCAGGUUGCAGUAGCCGCAAUGGGGACGAGGGCGGCUAGAGCCGCCAUGAGGAGUGGGCAAGAGCGGCGGAGCACUCGAGCGGGAAGGAGUCGGUGCAGCAUGUGGCAUAGUUGAAGCUCUAGCAGCGAGCAGAGGGAACCUUAAGUAAACCACGUAAGCGAGUCUCCUCAGCGCGAAUCUCAGAAAGUGCCUCCAUGAGAGAAAUACGGCCAUGAGCAAACAACUGAGCACGUCAGGGCUCAAACUCCUUACGGAGCCGAGACAAGAACUCGUAGACACGAUGAAACUCUGAAUUGGCCUGUACAGCCUGGCAACACUGGCAAGUACGACAACCAGCACUCCGGAGAGAAUCAAGCUGACGCCAGAUAGCAAAACUCUGUGCAUAGAAAUCAUCAACAGUGGAGUCACCCUACUGAAGAGCAUGCUCCUGGCGGACCACAGACGGGUAUAAGGCAUCACCAGAGGGUUCAUAACGUUGAUGAAGACGGGUCCACAUCUCAAAUACGAUGGGCAGGCCCAAGAACUGAGAAGCAAACUGAGGCAAAACACUAGCAGUGAGAACAACUGCGACGCGGGCAUCAUCAUCAAGCCACUGAGUAUAAAUAGACAGAGCAUCAUGAUACAUGUGGAGGGUCUCCUCAUACACCGAAGCCUGCUCAUCAUAAGCACGAACAACAACCUCAUCAGCAAGCUUAGCUGCAUCCUUCGUGGCCUGAUUAGCAUCCACAGGAAGAACCGGUGGCGUCGGCGGAGUAGGGGCCAUAGGAGGAACCGGACGUGGCGGACAACGGACCUUGCCAGAAAGAACACCCCAUAGACGGAUGCCACGCAUAUGAAUGCGCAUGAAGCCAACAAACUCAGAGUAGUUAGCGCCAUCAAAAAUCACCGGACAACGAGGAACGGCAACAUAGCCCGAUGUUGCAAACAUUUUUUUGUUGCAGUCACCAGCAGCAGCAGUACAGAGAACAGCGACAACCGCAGUCAGGGCUUCAGGCGGCAGGGGCGACGAGAACCAGCAACAGAGGGAAUAGCAGUGGUAGCUGGCCGGACGAGAGACGGGCAUCGGUGGCCGAUGCUGUCAGAGAUGCGAUCCAGAGGGCACCGAGCAGAUCGAAAGCGGGACCAGCAGCUUCGAGUGGAACCACGAGAUCAAGGCCAGCGGCAUUGCGUCGAUCCUGAGGGCGAUGGAGGAGAUCGGGGCCAGCGGCGUCGCGUUGACCGGCUGCAGCGUCGAGUGGGACCUCGAGAGCGGGGGCCAGCGGCUUCAAGCGUCAAGUGGGACCUCGAGAGCGGGGGCCGGCGGCUUCAAGCGGGGCCGGUGGCAGCGUCGAUCCUGUGGGCGGGGGCGGCUCGAUCCUGCGUUGACCGGCUGCAGCGUCGAGCAGGACCUCGAGAGCGGGGGCCGGCGGCUUCAAGCGGGGCCGACGGCGACGAUCCUGUGGGCGGGGGCGACUCGAUCCACACGAUCGGGAGGAGAUGAGCGGUGGGUUGACGGGCUGCUAGGAUGGGGAAGAAAAAAGCAAGGGUGGCGCCACGACGGAUCAAUCGCACGAGUUGCGGCGUGCAAAAAAUUGACCUAGCUCUAAUACCAUGUUAGGAAAUAUGCAACUUGUAUUUCUAGGAGGCCAUAGACAAGUAUAUAUACAUGUACAGGUGUGUGGAAUAUGCAGGAA